GGAGCGGCCGGCCUUCCCGUAGACGUGUUGACCUCGCCUUCGCCCCGGGUGGUCGGAGAAGGCUUGAGGGCCGUACAAAUCCGUACGAGUCCUUCGAAGCGCUUGGUGUUCGGUGCUAGCGAAAAGACGAGAAUUGCUGGGAAACCGUCUGGCUUGUCAAAAUACUUUGCAGCGUAGGGUGGGGAAUUUCUUGUUUUGGUCUGUUUUUACCUGCAUCGUUUGUGGAUAAACUGUAACGCAGUUGACAGCUAAGCACAAAUUCUGUGGGAGUGUUUCUGUGAGUUGGGAGAAAGGUCAAGCUGGAUCCAGCUUAAGGUGUGAACAAAAGCGGCCCUUGGGCUGRGGCUUCACAAAGGAAGGUUUGGUCUGGAGGUUUUAAUGGCACAGGCGAAGACCUUUGGAAAAGAGCUUUUAUCAUGGAAACCAAGUAUCUGUAAGAAUUAACUAAACCAGCAUCAUUAAAAAAAAAAAGUUUCUGAGAAUGCAGAAAUGCUUUCUUCUUCGUUUCCUCUCAAGUGAGAACAAGUUAUGUUUAUCAGUUUGUCCUGACAAAAUGAUGAAUGGCGAUUAGUUGAAACAGCCUGGCUACUUGCUUUGGUGUUGGUUCUGCUAUGUGUGUGCCCUGCUCAAAUGCAGAACAGCCUCCAUGCAGGUGGAAGCAUCUCAAACAACUUCAUCCAGGACAGAAACAAAUAAAGAAGAGGAAAUCCUGAAGAGCCUUGUGGACAUGCUGUGGCAUGUAAUGCAAGGUGUUCCCACCCACGGCCCACCACCAAAGCAUACAGCCAUUAUACCCACAGAAGGGCAGAAUUCUUUUAAUGAUACACUAGAUUCUCUUUGGUUAAAAGUAUACAGAAAGCAUGUUAAAAAGCAAAAAAACCUUAAAAGCUUUGCAAUUACAGGAAGAUCUAUUCCCUCUACAACACCAUCAUUUUUGACACUCCAAGCUGAGCCAGAUGUUUCUGUUGUGUUACGUGCUUAUGAAUCUACACAGUUGAAAGCACCACUGAAAAAGCUAGCCUUAAUAUUUCAGACUGUUGCUACAAAAAAAAGAAAAAUAAAUAAGUCUUUUGAUGAGUUAAUAAAUGAGCUUAGUGAAAACUUUAAAGAAUAUUAAGAAAGAAAUGGUAAAUACCACUAUUAAGUUUGAAAAUCCAAAACCUGCUAAUGAAAUGAUGAAAAAAGCUGCAUGAAUUUAAGAAGGUGGAACAUGAACCUCUAGGCAAAGAAGUCUUGAGAAUAAUUGAAACAUUACAAAAAGCAGUAGAGAAUGCACCUACCAAUGUUAAACAAAAUCCGCAUUUCAGGGGGCAUGUUGGAUUGGCUGAAAUCUAGACAGCAACAUCUCAAGCACCAGAAGAAGUAGAGAAUUUGUUAGAACAACCGUGUAUUUUUUCUAAAGCUUCCCUUGCUCCUCCCUCUCCAUCUCUGUCUCCACUAGACUGUCUAGGAGAGAAUUCAGCUGAAACCAGAAAAUUAAGAACUUUGAUUAACCUGUUUUAUGAUUUUAGUCCUGAAUUAAAUACAUAUAUUGAUACUUAUCCUGAGAAAAAUAUCACAAAGAAUAUUACUGAAAAAGCUAUUGUUGUGACUAAGGCUCUAAAACAGGUUUUCUGUGGAAAUCGGAGCACAACAAAAAAGCAGGAAGGAAAUCAUUAGAAGAUACUAAACUUUUAAACCAUGCUUUUAAGAAUGCUAAAGACACAAUUAAAAAAAAACACAACGAAUAUCUGCAAUAUUGUCAUUGCCUUUCCUUGAGGUUUUAAAGAUCAAUUUUCAGUUUUCUCUGUUAUCCAAAUCGGAUAUGUUAUAACCGUAUUCAUCCCAGUAAUUAAAAACUAUCAUUUUUAAAUGAUCAUACUCACGUCUGUGAUUUGAAAAUGACUUUGACAGGCUUYUUCUGUGAAAAGAUCCAUGUUUGCAUUUGAAUGAAAUAUGCUUGGUCUAGUUACAGAGCUCUCUCUACUGCAAGAAUAUUCUGCAUUACUGUAGGUGCACCACUUAGUGUAGAGAACUGGAAUUUUUUUUAAAUCUUUUCUAAACCUAAAUAUCACUAAAUAUAUCUGCACUCAUGGAUUUGUGCCACAAUAAUACUAGGCUCACAUUCAGAUAAGUACAACAYGCAUAUUCCUGGUAUUUUACUACUAUGUGCAGAACAUAAUUACUUUUUAUAUUUAAUUUUAAAAUACAUUUCUAACUUUCUAGUACAGUCAUUCUUUCAUAAAUUUGUCAUAUUCAAUUAAAAUGUUUUUUCAAAACUCUUCUUCCUCUGCCUGGAGAAAAUAAAAAGCAACAGGCUGUUUUAAUGUAUGCCUAA
rnacentral:lncRNA from 1 species